rnacentral:misc_RNA from 1 species
UUUUUGUUUUUUUUUUUUUUUGGGUGUUCGAGCCUUUAUGUUGGUGUUUCUAAAUUUGGUACAGUACUGUUACUUUGUGGUUGAACCUGAGGGAUCACUAGACCUGUUGCAACCUUCUAAGAAGAAUCUCAUCAAGGUGGAGUGUUGGAAUGAUGAGAUUCUAUGCCAUUUUAAGGGGGAGUAUUAUGAAAAGUCAAUAUUUAUAUUUAGUUAGAUUCCUAUUUAGUAUGAGAUUCAUAUUGCCAAAAUAUACAUGGAAUGUAUUCCUAAUUAGUACUUAGUAGAGCUAUUUAGUGUAGGAUUUAUAUUC